UCAACAACCCAAACUUUAACCGCUUGUAUGGGAUAAGACAAAAAGAAAUCUUUGACAUUAUUUGUUUUCUUAGAAGACUUUAUUCUUUUAAGAGAUAUCUCAUUGAAGAAUGGUUUUUAUCCAAUCCGUAGGAAUCAAUAAAAAAAAAAAUUUAAAUCCCCUACAAUACACCAAAUCACGCUCAGUUAUUGAUAGUGUGAACAAAUCUGCUAUUUUUAAUUUUUUUUAUUUAAAAUCACAAUAUAAUGUGUAUUUCCUCUUCCAAUUAUGGAAUAGAUAAAAGAUAUCAAAAUAUAAAUUUUUAUUCAAGAAAUUUUAUUGGAACUGUCCAUAUCUUUUGAACCAUUACGCAUCUAAAAUCUGGUGAAAUAGAUGAAACUCAAAAAAAAAAAAUUAAAAAAAAAAACAAAACAUAAAAAGAGAGACCCGAGGCUAUAAUUAAAAUUGGCCAAGCUAAAUCUUAACAAAAUAUAAAUUUGAUUUGAUUUAAUUUAGACUAAUGUGAGCUCGAAUAAUAAAACUCAACUUGCUUGUUUAAAAAUAAUUAAACUCAAGCUUAGUUUGAGCUCGGUUUAAAAAUAAUUUAUAUAUUAUAUUAUAUGAGCUUAAUUUAAAUUCAGAUCAUUAAAUAAUAAAUAAUAAUGUGGGGUAAAGUUUGAUCCUCCCCUAUCUCUUUCAUCUCACACUCCAUUACCUCUUUUUCCUAGCAGAUUAGUAAAGCCAAAAGAAGAUGAGCAAGAAAAGGAGAUCUUGGGUACAUUUAGAAAGGUGGAGAUAAAUAUCUCAUUAUUGGAUGCUAUUAAGCAAAUUCCUAAAUAUGCAAAGUUCUUAAAGGAAUUGUGCACCAACAAAAGAAGGACGAAAGAAAAAGAAAAAGUGGUGGUAAGUAAGAAUGUGUCGGCUAUCUUGCAAAAGAAUAUCCCAGAAAAAUGCAAAGAUCCAGGCACCAAAACUGAAAUUAAAAGCUUUACCGGAUCACCUAAAAUACGUGUAUUUAGGUGGUGAUGAAACAUUGCCUGUCAUCAUCUCAAAAGGACUAACAAUAAAAUAAGAAGGAAGAUUGGUUAAAGCCUUGAGGGAAUACAAGGUUGCAAUUGGUUGGACUUUGGCUGACAUAAAAGGCAUUAGUCCAUCAAUUUGCAUGCACAGGAUUUUGCUAGAGGAUGAGCCAUGAAAGAAGUUGUCAUGAAAGAGAUACUUAAGCUGUUGGAUGCAGGUAUAAUCUACCCAAUCUCAGACAACAAAUGGGUAAGUCCAAUUCAUGUAGUCCCCAAGAAAACUGGAAUGACUGUGGUAAGGAAUUUGAACAAUGAACUUAUACCAAUGCGUGUGCAAAAUGGUUGGAGAAUGUGUAUAGAUUUUAGGAAGCUUAAUCAAGUGACUAGAAAAUAUCAUUUUCCUUUACCUUUCAUUGACCAAAUGUUAGAACGAUUGGCAGGCGAAUCUUUCUUCUUGUUUUUUAUGGCUUUUCAGGAUUUUAUCAAGUUCCUAUUGCAUAAGAAGAUUAGGAAAAAACAACAUUCACUUGUCCUUUCAGAACCUAUACUUAUAGGCGAAUGCCUUUUGGCCUCUGUAAUGCCCCAAGUACGUUUCAAAGAUGCAUGAUGAGUAUUUUGUCUGAAUAUAUUAAGAAAUGCAUUGAAGUAUUUAUGGAUGACUUUACUGUAUAUGGGGAUUCAUUUGAUGAACGCAUAGAUAAUUUAACCAAAUUUUUAAAAGAUGCAUAGAGACUAACUUGGUUUUAAAUUAUGAAAAGUGUCAUUUUAUGGUCAUCCAAGGCAUUGUAUUAGGGCAUAUGAUCUCCUCCAAGGGUAUAGAGGUUGAUAAGCCAAAAGUGAACAUAAUUGCAAACUUACCAUACCCUACCAAUGUUAGGGAAGUGCGCUCUUUUCUUGGACAUGCAGGAUUUUAUCGCUGGUUUAUCAAGGAUUUCUCCAAGAUUGCUUUGCCAUUGGCAAAUUUACUGCAAAAAGAAGUUCAAUUUCGAGUUUGGGGAAGAAUGCAGAGAGGCGUUUGAAAAGCUCAAAGAUUUGUUGACAAGCACACCUAUUAUUCAACCACCUCAAUGGGAUUUACCUUUUGAAAUCAUGUGCGAUGCAAGCAAUUAUGCAGUGGGAGCAGUUCUGGGGUAACGGAUUGAGAAGAAAAGUCAUGUCAUCUAUUAUGCUUCUAGGAUCCUAAAUUCCACCCAAUGCAAAUACUCCACCACAGAAAAGGAGCUUUUAUCAAUUGUCUUUGCUCUGGAUAAAUUUCAAUCUUAUAUGCUUAGUUCUAAAGUUAUUGGGUAUUCUGAUCAUAGAGCUUUGAAGUAUCUUUUAGCAAAGAAAGAUAUUUGAUUGGUUGGGGUUUACUCACUAAGGAGUCCUUGUCUACUUAUAGACUUUUAUGGCUUGAGAGAUACCAUGCCAUCGUUGGCUUCAGCCUCAAAGAACUCCCUAUCUUAAGAGCAUUUACUAUUGCUUUUCAUAUUUUGUACAUGUUGAUAAGGAUGUAACUUCCUUGUUCACUUUAUUACUUUCUCAAUUUCCUGUCCAUAUUUCACUACACUUCCUGCUUUGCUCAA